UACGUAGGAUGCAAGCGUUGUCCGGAUUUACUGGGCGUAAAGCGCGCGCAGGCGGCAGUACAAGUACCUUAUGAAAUCUCCUUGCUCAACGAGGAGGGUGUGAGGUAGACUGUACAGCUAGAGGAGGGUAGAGGGGGGUAGAAUUGCUGGUGUAGCGGUGAGAUGCGUAGAGAUCAGCAGGAAUACCCGUGGCGAAGGCGGCCCCCUGGGCCGUUUCUGACGCUGAGGCGCGAAGGCUAGGGGAGCGAACGGG
rnacentral:rRNA from 1 species